GGAAGUAAAAGUCGUAACAAGGUUUCCGUAGGUGAACCUGCGGAAGGAUCAUUAAAGAGUAAGGGUGCUCAGCGCCCGACCUCCAACCCUUUGUUGUUAAAACUACCUUGUUGCUUUGGCGGGACCGCUCGGUUCCGAGCCGCUGGGGAUUCGUCCCAGGCGAGUGCCCGCCAGAGUUAAACCAAACUCUUGUUAUUAAACCGGUCGUCUGAGUUAAAAUUUUGAAUAAAUCAAAACUUUCAACAACGGAUCUCUUGGUUCUCGCAUCGAUGAAGAACGCAGCGAAAUGCGAUAAGUAAUGUGAAUUGCAGAAUUCAGUGAAUCAUCGAAUCUUUGAACGCACAUUGCGCCCCUUGGUAUUCCGAGGGGCAUGCCUGUUCGAGCGUCAUUACACCACUCAAGCUGUGCUUGGUAUUGGGUGCCGUCCUUAGUUGGGCGCGCCUUAAAGACCUCGGCGAGGCCACUCCGGCUUUAGGCGUAGUAGAAUUUAUUCGAACGUCUGUCAAAGGAGAGGAACUCUGCCGAUUGAAACCUUUAUUUUUCUAGGUUGACCUCGGAUCAGGUAGGGAUACCCGCUGAACUUAAGCAUAUCAAUAAACGGAGGA
rnacentral:rRNA from 1 species